GAAAUGCGAUAAGUAAUGCGAAUUGCAGAAUUCAGUGAAUCAUCGAAUCUUUGAACGCACAUUGCGCCCGCCAGUACUCUGGCGGGCAUGCCUGUCUGAGCGUCAUUUCAACCCUCGCGCCCGGCUUCUGUCGGGGGCGGUGUUGGGGAUCGGCCUCCCGUCUCCGGGCGGCCGUCCCCUAAAUCCAGUGGCGACCGCGCCGUAGCCUCCUCUGCGUAGUAGUGAAACACUCGCGGGCGGAGAGCGGUGUGGCCCGCCGUAAAACCCCCCAACUUCUCAAGGUUGACCUCAGAUCAGGUAGGAAUACCCGCUGAACUUAA
rnacentral:misc_RNA from 1 species